GGAGUUGUGGCUCAGGGAUAGAGCACUCACCUAGCAUGUGUGAGGCCCUGGGUUCCAUCCUCAGCACUACA
rnacentral:tRNA from 1 species